rnacentral:rRNA from 1 species
AUUGAACGCUGGCGGCAUGCCUUACACAUGCAAGUCGAACGGUAACGGGCCUUCGGGUGCCGACGAGUGGCGCACGGGUGAGUAAUACAUCGGAACGUGCCCGAUCGUGGGGGAUAACGAGGCGAAAGCUUUGCUAAUACCGCAUACGAUCUACGGAUGAAAGCAGGGGACCGCAAGGCCUUGCGCGGACGGAGCGGCCGAUGGCAGAUUAGGUAGUUGGUGGGAUAAAAGCUUACCAAGCCGACGAUCUGUAGCUGGUCUGAGAGGAUGAUCAGCCACACUGGGACUGAGACACGGCCCAGACUCCUACGGGAGGCAGCAGUGGGGAAUUUUGGACAAUGGGCGCAAGCCUGAUCCAGCCAUGCCGCGUGCAGGAUGAAGGCCUUCGGGUUGUAAACUGCUUUUGUACGGAACGAAAAGCCUUCUUUUAAUACAGGAGGGUCAUGACGGUACCGUAAGAAUAAGCUCCGGCUAACUACGUG